CCUGGUACCUUCCCGUCAUCAGUUGGUUCCUGGACGGGGUGCACAGAGGCUGGACGUAGUAGUUCUCCAGGCGGACCCCUGCGGCAGACAGCUUGUCCAGAUUGGGUGUCUUGAUUUCCGAGCCGUGGUAGCCCACAUCGUACCAGCCGAGGUCAUCCGCAAAUAUGAACACGAUGUGCGGCUGCCGGGACGCCAACGCCGCAGGCGGGUCCGUGUGGGCUCGGUGAGGACCAGCGGCUCCUGGAUGACCACGGCCGGGUACUUCCUGCCCAGCAGCUCCACCUCCACCUUCUGGCCCACGGAACACAGCUCCACUGGAAGGUAGGCGAACGCCAGGCUCUGCUGGGAGCUGUAGCUGUAUGCGCCGGACGUCGUGUUGCCCACCACCUGGCGAGACACCCGGGUCAGGGCGGACCAAAGAAGAUAGAGGAUGACCGACUUAACUAACCUUGCCGUUGUGCCACACCGUCUCGUUGCCCUCAGGGUCAAUGUCAUGCGUGUCCACUGUGAUGUAGGACAACUUCCUCUUCAGGCCCUUCGCUUUGAUCUCUUGAAGGGCGGCCUUGCCGAUAAAGUCGGCGGGCUAUUCGAGAAAAAUUGUUAUGAAUGGCAGCGGACUACACACUCGUUAGUCAAACGGCUGUACAGUCGUCCCUCAUUUACGGCGGUUAAUUGGCUCGACCGCGAUAAGUGAAUUUCCGCGAAGUAGGAUUCCGUCUCUGCCAUGGCAUGUCCGUCUCGGCCAUGGCAUAUCGGCUGGGCUCUGGUGGUUCAGUAGCCAGUCUCCAUGCAGUGUGAAAGGUAAUGUAAUCUAACGUCAUGCCUAGUGACCACAAUACUACGCAUAACUUGUCUUGCAGUAUUUUAGGACUCAUAAUAGGCUAUAGUCAACCACAAAACAGCCAUUUAUUCAUUAAUUGUUUUGUUUUUUUUUAAACGCGAUGUAUUGAGGGAGCGAUAUUCAAACUGUGAUAUAGCGAGAGAUGACUGUACUUUAAAAUAAAACUAAAAUAAAGUAAAAUGACUAAACCUUUCAAAAACUAGCCUGACAGACACGUAAUGCACUGUUUACAUAGCAAUACUGACACCUAGUGGCAAUUUAUAGGUAUUGCAGGGGUUAAUAAAGCUUUAUGAGGGUUUGAACUGCAUGUUUUGUUUGACGUUUGAGGCAUGUUUGUCCAGAAAAUCUUGUUCUAACCCCAAAUUUGCCAAUUUUUGGCAGCGAUUGGACUGUACAGUAUUCUAGAACCCUGGCCUAAAGGACACAACGUUAUGAUCAAUGGCAAAGGUUACCUUAUUGAGUUUGAUGAAAUAGUCCAGCCCCGCCUCCAGAGGAUUGGUGUCACAGUUCAUCUGUAAAGACAGAAAUGUAUCUAACCGGUCAAAAUAUGAAAAAGCUUUCAGCAAUGGGCACAUUUUCUAAUUCAUCAUGAAAUAAUAGUUUGAAAGGUGGAAGUGUUGAAAACACACAUUUCUAUAGUGGAGUUCAUGAUGCAAAGACCAGCCAUCAAACAAUUUACUUUUUAUUCCACAUAACUAGACGCUACAAGUGAACGGAUAACCUUUGUUAUAGAUAUAGACAUCUUACCGCUUAGUUUAUCCCUCAUCAGAAUAAUAAAGAUGAAAGUUGCAUCCCUGUGUGUAGUUUGAGACGUCUGUUCACCAUUGCCGCGGGGGAGCAAGGGCAAAUCAGUAGGGGAGCUUAAUGUCAGCUGACUUAUGUCAUAUGAUAUCUACAAAGUGACGUUUAUGCCACCGACCCAAACUAUCUUUGCGAUUGACUGGUAGCUGGAGAUGAACGUAAUGGGUAAUUGAUUCUUAAACCCAGGUACAAGUACAACUGGUGGUACGCAGGCUCCAUCUCGUGGUACUCGGGACUAUCAAAGAUGAAAAAAUAAACGUUUGAUGUAAAAACCUUGACCUAUGAGGAUGGUGUGCGUUCGUUUUUUACCUCAGCUCCCCAUCCCCUGAAGCCCUUCUCCAGUCUGAGCGAAGACAUGGCGUAAGUGCCAAAAUGGUCGAUGCCCUCGUCUUUACCCGCGUCCAUGAUGGCCUGGUACACGGCCGCCAUGUCCUUCUGGGCCAUGUACAUCUCCCAUCCCAGUUCACCUGAGAGCACAUGCAAAGUUAUUAAUAGGCCUGAUAUCUUUUUUUUCAUACCGAUAACUUUUUUAUAUCUACUUUUUUAUUCAGAUUUAAGUGUGCACACCUGGAUGUAAGAAGGACUGGAACUAAUUAGGAUUUCACCAGCUGUACCUGUUGAUUUGUUGAUUAAUCAAAUAUCAUGACAUGACCACUACCACAUCACCACUAUCAGGAGAACCAGAGUAUAGAGGGGAGGAGCCACCUGCUCUGGCCCAGCAAGGUGCACUGUAUUCAGGCACAUGCUCUGAGCAGCCGCUGUGCUGGAUCUUUCACUAAUGUUUUUACAGUAGGUCCUUAACAACAGCACCUGUUAUGCUGGUAUAGAGGAUCUAUGACUGGCAUAAAAAUAGUGUAUUGCUUGUGUUUUCAUGUAUGACUGCAUUUAUUUACAUAUCAGAAAUAAGAGUUGCUCAGUACCGGUGUAGGAGAUCCUGAUGGCGCGGAGCGGAACGCCGGCCAACUGGAUGGUCUUGCACUGGAGGAAUUUGAAUCCGGCAUCGCUCAUGUCCUCUUUUGUCAGCUUCUGAAGGACCUUGCGGGAGUUCGGCCCGGCGAUGCCCAGCACGCCCAUGUCUUCCGUCAUGUUGGCGAUGUCCACGUCGUAGCCGCCCAGUGCCACCUCGUUUUCGAUCCACCUGUAGUGUUCAUAUUUGCAGCACAAAAAAGGAAAUGUGUUCAUUUCACGUGUGCAUUUUGUUUUCUACUGGUUGGUGUGGCUUACUUUUGUCUUAUACCACCUUCUGUGACUUACUUACAUCUGUCCUUGUGUGGAUUACUUUUGUCUUAUACCGCCUUGUGUGGCUUACUUUUGUCCUUGUGUGGCUUACUUUUGUCUUAUAUUGCCUUGUGUGGCUUACUUUUGUUCUUGUGUGGCUUACUUUUGUCUUAUACCACCUUCUGUGACUUACUUACAUCUGUCCUUGUGUGCCUUACUUUUGUCUUAUACCACCUUGUGUGGCUUACUUUUGUCUUAUAUUGCCUUGUGUGGCUUACUUUUGUUCUUGUGUGGCUUACUUUUGUCUUAUACCACCUUCUGUGACUUACUUACAUCUGUCAUUGUGUGCCUUACUUUUGUCUUAUACCACCUUGUGUGGCUUACUUUUGUCUUAUAUUGCCUUGUGUGGCUUACUUUUGUCCUUGUGUGGCUUACUUUUGUCUUAUACCGCCUUGUGUGGCUUACUUUUGUCCUUGUGCGGCUUACUUUUGUCUUAUAUCGCCUUGUGUAGCACACUUUUGUCUUAUGCCGCCUUCUGUGGCUUACUUACAUUUGUCCUUGUGUGGCUUACUUUUGUCUUAUACUGCCUUGUGUGUCUUACUUUGUCCUUGUGUGCAUGGUGAAGUCUUCCUAUGUAAUUCAACCUAGUGGCCACAAGAGGACACUACCUUAAACUGCUCUGCCUCUUUCUCUCUUGGCUGGUUUGAGGAAUUUUGGAAUGAGGUAUUAAUUACUGCCUGCCAAAGGAAGAGUUGUAUUUGGAGCUGCUGCCACGCUUUACGCUCCAACAGGAAAAAACAGAUUGCAGGAGUGUUUUAUAUUCAGCACAGAGAGGUUAGGUUGGAAUUGAGUACAUGCUGUUCUUCUUAGAAAUGCACUGCUGCUUUCACUUUCGUCCAAGUAAGUGUUCAUGCUUCACCUGAGGUCAUGCAGCUCCGAUCCCGAGCCAGUGAUGAGCAAGAACUCUCCCGGCGCCAACUGAGUGAUGGUGACCUCGGCGUACACUCUGCCAGUGGGUGUCAACAUGUGACUGAUGUUCGUCUGGCCCACCUGAAAACACAAAAGUGCCCCAGUGAAAAACUCUUGGAAGGACUUUCUAUUGGACCUCCAGGGUUGUCGAGUAUUCACCAGUGUUUUUUACGAGUGCCAUACCUUUGGCAUGGUGUUGGCAAACAAGCGGUCCAGCAGCUUGUGAGAGUCCUUCCCCUUCACGGUGAACUUGCCAAAGGGGGUCAGGUCUAUCACGCCCACCUUCUCCAUCACCAGCUUGCACUCCCGGGCCACGGGUCCAAACCAGUUUGUACGCCUGAAACUGGGCCUGGGGACGGCGCAACGAUAAGUUUGUCUCGCUGGAGAGAGAAGCGUGUUUCUGCCUUACCUGUAUCCGGCGUCAUCUCCCGCUUUGUAGAACCAGUGUGGUUGUUCCCAGCCUGCGUGGAAUCCCAUGGAUCCUUUGUCCUUCAGGAGAUCAUAAACGCCGCUCGUACGCGUGGUUGGUCGACCGGCGAAGCGCUCCUCUUUGGGGUAUCCGACUGGAGAGAUAAAGGGUUAUUUAAGCUGUGUAGAGUACCUUUUGUUUCUUGCUGCCUGUGUGUGCCAUUUUUUAUUUCUGCUGGUUUGUGUUGCUAACUUUUGUCUUAUACCACCUUGUGCACCUCACUGUUGUCUUUGUGCAGCUUACAUUUGUCUUAUACCGCCUUGUGUGGCUUCUUGACGCCUAAUGGCCCGUUUAUUUAUUACUGCCCAAGUGACUUACUUCUGCCUGAGGGGCUUACUUUUGUUGCUGCCCGCUUGGGAUCGCAGAAUUAGUUUUUGUUCAAGUGGUCUCGGUCUGACUGGUUGGUUGGAUCGAGGGUUAGAGUCACUACAGCUUUAAGGAUGGUCGUCAACAUGGGGGUCUGUGGUUCUUACCCACGUUGUUGAAGCCGUAGGACUCUCGAGCUUUGGCGCACAAGAAGGGCACGUCGGUCCACCUGCCGUAGCGGUUGGGGUCGCACUCGAUCAGGUCGUAGGGAGGCUCACCGUUUAUGAUCCAGUCACUCAGAAAUUUUCCGAUUCCGCCGGCGUGGAUAACUCCAUACCUGAGCACACACGAGGCAAUGUGGACAGUUGUCGUCGUUGUAUCGCAGACAUGCUCAGAGAAGAGAACACGCACCCAAAUCCAAUGGCGGUCCAGUAGUUGGGGACUCCUUGAUGGGGUCCGACCAUGGGCAGCAGGUCCGGGGUGUACGUGAUGGGGCCAGACACAAUGUUGAUGAUGUCGGCCUUCUUCAGCACGGGAACCAUCUCCAUGGCCAUUUCUACAUGCUCCAUGAUCCUGUCCAGGUCCGACUCAAACAGCUCCUUGCCAAAACCUGCAGCAGCCAGAAAGGGGCCAAGGAUGGACAAAAGAUUAGAACGUUCCCCAGUUCAGAACUGUUCAACCAAGCUAGCAAGACAGACCUGGGGGUACUCCAUCUCUGACCCAAGAGUCCUGCAGAACCAUCUUCUCCAUUUUCUCAUAGGGUCCAAACAGAAGGCCGUCUCUUUCCUGGCGGAGGUAGUAAGAACCUUCCAGGUCUCUGAUGACGGCCAGCUCCUUCUUCAAAGCCUUCACCUCCGGCACCGUCGCUGUCACCACGUACUGGUGAUGGACCGGGAUGGUAGGAUGCUCAAAUCCGAUCAUUUUGCCAACCUCCCGCGCCCAGAAACCUGGAAAACAACAGCAGUUUUUGAGAAACAGACUUUUUUUUGCCCUUAGGGUCAAAUGUGUGAGGGUUUUUUUUUUUUUUUUAACAGAUCCAACCAAUAUAAACUUUUAUACUUGGAAAAAAACUGUAGGUCAGACAGUCAAGAUUGCAGCCUGUGAAUACUUAGAAGAAAUGUAUGUAGGGCGGUGUAGUAAAACAACAUACAGAUAAGGUCCAAAGUACCCCGACGUGUUUACCAGUCGACCGCACAGGAGGUCGCUUCACUGGGUAAACAUUUCGCCAGGCUAAUAAAAGCUAUUGUUGAUUCCAAAUCAGUCUCUAUUUAUUAUGAAGUUGCAUAUAUUUGGGGCGACGAGGCAGACAUGUUGAAACUGGCAAAGUGGUUGUCAGCUGACCUCCUGUCAGCAACUUUGUUCGAUCCUUUAAUGCUAGCUAUGUUUUAGCAGCUAGUUUGCUAAAGCCUUUGUCUAAUGGCCCAGUCAGGCUAAUGCUAGCAUGUCUUGGUAUCUAGAAACCCCGUCAUAUGCCUAAGAAUCAGUUAACAUUUUAUAUUAUAGUUUAGCUAAACGAUGAUACAAAGUUUGUGCUACAGCUUACUGCAGCAAGGCUAUCCUAUCUUACAUGCUCAUGCUAAUGCUAACAGUGUUUUGGUAGCUAGUUUUUCUUAGAAUAAGCUAACGCUCCUAUAAGUACCCACUAUAUUCAAUCAUAGCAUGAGCUUUAGCAUAUCUAUAAUGGCCUGCUCAGGCUAAUGUUAGCAAUGUUUUGGUAGGUAGUUUGUCUUGGAACAAGCUAACGCUCUUAAGAGCACCUGCUAUAUUCAAUCAUAGAUGAGCUUUAGCGUUUCUUGUACUGCUUGCUAUAGCAAGGCUACCAACUUAGCUUAGCCUAGCCUAGCCAUUAUCUGUAAUGGCAUGCUCAGGCUAUGCUAGCCAUGUUUUGAUAGCUAGUUUGUCUCGGAACAAGCUAAAGCUCCUGUAAGUAUCCACUAUAUUCAGUCUUGUAGUGUAGCAUAGUGUGAGCUUUAGCAUUUGUGCUACUGCUCGCUAUAGGAAAGCUACCAGCUUAGCUUAGCCUAGCCUAGCCUAGCCUACCUAGCCUAGCCAUGCCACGAUUUUACGAGGUUUAACACAGUUUUAAAUCGCUUUAAUACGAUUAGUAGCAAAUGAUGAUUUUUUUCCCCCAUUAGCAAAGUGGCUCUUUGGUGAGUAAUUAGGUGGUUUCAGAACAAAACAAAUUUGUGGGGUUUACUGAAACGGGAGCUGUGCGCUUGCUAAACAGAUGGGACUCUUGUAGCUGGAUGUGAAAUGCAGGAAUUUAGCAAGUGUGGAGUGAUUCUGCAUUUGUGGCUUCUUUUGACCCUGAAAACAAACAUCAGGGGUAAAACCCCCCCAGCUAAAAUGGUGUUUGAGGAGGCGUGUUUGCGCUGCUGCUUGAAGAUUGGAUGGGGGCUCAGACGGAUUGGCUGUCGGACGCAGGGAGGCCAGCGUAAAAAACUGGAUUCUGGAGUCCAAAGUGUGCAAAAAUAGGAAGCAAGGAAGCUGUGAAGGCAGCCCUUCACAGGAUCCAGCUGCACUGAAUUUGAACCAAACAUUUAUUUAUGCAGCGUCGCUGAACACAACUGAAAAACAAAGCUGGCAGCCAACAAAAACCCCCACUAGAACCGGUCCGACCCAGCUUAAGCCGGUCGCUCUGAAUCCUAAGAGCAGUGGUCCGUGUGAGCAAAGGUCUUUAAGUGUUAGAUAACACCUUUUUAUGGAAUACUGCCUGAGAAUGUGUCGCUCUCCGUAAUCCGCAAGUGAAGCUGUGGUGCUAAAACACCAAAUGACAAAGCAGCUAAAGGUGCUUCAGACCUGUGGCGUUGACGAUGCGAUCGGCCCGGAUCCUCCCGUGGGGCGUCUGCACGUCCCAUUUGCCGUCAGCGGUGGGCUUCAGGCCCGUGACCGGCGCCGGGUUGUAGAUCUGAGCUCCGUGCAUGCGAGCCCCCGCGGCCAGAGCCAUGGUCAGGGAGUACGGGUCGAUGUGGCCGUCUCCCGGAGUGUACAGACCUGCCAAGACCUACGAAACCCAAACUGCAGCUUUUACAACCCAAUGGAGAGACCACAGACCAGCACCAUUCAACUCCUUUGAAAGCCAGACAGCAAGUCAAUGAUCUUCUUACCACGCAAACAAGCUGCUGCUUUUAAGGACGUAAUGCAAAAACAAAUAUUCUAGACAAAUAUUCUCUAUAUGUCAGAACAAAAACACUUUGCUGUUUUUGGUGACUUACUGCAAAAACACAAGUCAGAGAUCCUUCAUACAAAAAAUUUACCCUGCUGUUUUUGAUGACCUACUGCAAAAAUGCAAGUCAAAGAUCCUCCAUAGAAAAAGUGUGCCAUGUUGUUUUUAAGGAACAACGGCAAACAUACGACUCAAAGAUCCUCUACGUGACAGGUGCACUUUUCAACAAAAAAGGUCAAAGCUCAUCAGUUCAACAGGAGUGCUUUGCUGUUGUAAGAAAUCUUCUGCAAAAACUCUAGUCAAAGAUCCUCUGUACGAAAAGUGUCCCCUGCUGUUUUUGAUGACCGACCGCAAAAACGCAAGUCAAAGAUCUUCUAUAUAACCGGGGCAGUUUACAGUUUUUGAUGACUUGCUGCAAAAACACUUAAGAUCCUCUAUACAAAAAGUGUGCCCUGCUGUUUUUGAUGAACCACUACAAAAAUGCUUGUCAAAGACUCUCUAUAUGACAGGAGCACUUUCCUGUUUUUGAUGACCUACUCCAAAAACGCCUGUCAAAGAUUCUCUAUAUGACAGGCGCACUCUGCUGUUUUUAAGGAUUUGUUGAACAAAAAUGUCCAACAGGAGUGCUUUGCUGUUGUAAGAAAUCUUCUGCAAAAACUCUAGUCAAAGAUCCUCUGUACGAAAAGUGUGCAAAAACGCAAGUCAAAGAUCUUCUAUAUAACCGGGGCAGUUUACAGUUUUUGAUGACUUGCUGCAAAAACACUUAAGAUCCUCUAUACAAAAAGUGUGCCCUGCUGUUUUUGAUGAACCACUACAAAAAUGCUUGUCAAAGACUCUCUAUAUGACAGGAGCACUUUCCUGUUUUUGAUGACCUACUCCAAAAACGCCUGUCAAAGAUUCUCUAUAUGACAGGCGCACUCUGCUGUUUUUAAGGAUUUGUUGAACAAAAAUGUCCAACAGGAGUGCUUUGCUGUUGUAAGAAAUCUACUGCGGAAACCGUAAUCACAGCUCCUCGGCACAAAAAGUGUGCCCUGCUGUUUUUGGCGACCUGCCUACUGCAGAAAUGCUUGUCAAAGGUUUUCUUUCCAACAGGAGCACUUUGCUGUUAUGAUUGAUGACGUACGGCAAUAACGCUAUUCGAAGAUCUUCCAAACAGGAGCACUUUGCUGUUUUUGUUGACCGAGUCAAGACCUAGCCAGUCAAAGAUCCUCUACAUGACAGGAGCUGCAGCCACAAAAGCGAGCGUGUUUGAGCCGCGGCGUGUGCACGUGGUGUUGGCCAAGCGGGGGUCACCUUGUCCAUGUUGAGCAGAGGGAAGAGCUCCUGGACCUUCUCCGGUCCGAUCAUGGACUGCUCCGUCACGUGCCAGUGCGUGCGGGUCAUCUGGUACCUCAUCUCGUCCACCCGGGCCGCCGUGGAAGCGAUGCGGACGCUGCCCGGCUGGUGGAAGCCCACCGCCUAUAAGCACAAACAGCGUGGAGGUGAUCUUGCAGUCAGUUGGAGCCUAAACGUGUCCCCCUUAGGACCUCACCUGUCCGGUCUCGGCCUCCAGCCUCUCGUAGAGUUUAAUGCUGUCGUAGUGGACUUUCUUCAGGUUGAUGCCCGGAUGGUAGUAGGUGGUCAGCCCGGCCUGGGACAUGGAUAAGGUUUAACUGAGGGAGGGGGGGUGCAGGGACGGUAACUGAAGACCGCCACGAGCGUCUGCCUAAAAAUAGCAUCACGGUUCAGCACAGGAACGUACUGCGUGCCACGUGGAUCCGGCCGUCAGUUCGGACUUCUCCAGCAGCACCACGUCCUUCAUGCCAGCCUUAGCCAGGUGGUAGGCCAAGCUGGUGCCCACGCACCCUCCCCCGAUGACCACGGUCUCAGCCGUGUCCUUCCACCGCUUGCCCAACACGGACGAGGCGUCACUGACGGGAUGAUAAUUAGCAUACUGGACCAUAAAACCAACCAACCUCCAAACAAACGUGUAGAUUUGUUAAAGACACUUUUUCUUUAAUGCAUUUGCACUGGCAAAACAUCUCCUUUUUCAAAUGACGUCACAAUCUGCUGUUUUGUGCUAUUUCUACUUCUCUUCUUUUUCACUUCCUGUUAGCAUUGCAAUUGUCAUUAUUGAUUUUCUUAGGUUUGAGUCAUUUUAAAUCUUUACUUGUUUCUUUUGAGUCGUUUCUAAUGUUUGGCAUAUUUCAAGACAUUUUAUAAAUGCUUUGCUAUCAAGCUACGUUUAACUUUAUUGAAAAUGUUGUUUUGUUUUUGUAUUUUGGAGUCAUUUAAUUUUUCUUUAUUUUGAGUCAUUUUCAUUUUUUUUCAGUUUGAACUUAUUUUCAUCAGGUCAUUUUACAUUGUUGUUAUUUUUUAUUUUGAGUUGUUUCAUUUUUAUCUGUAUUUUCAUUAAUUUGCUCUGUUUUUUAAUUGAGUCAGUUUUUAGUUAUUUUAAUUGAGUAAUUGAUUUUUUUUUUGAAUCAUUUAAACUUUGGGAAUUUAUUUGGAAUCAUUUUAAUUUUUUUGUUACUUUAAUUGAGUCAUUUUUUUAUUUUUAUUUUUUGAGUAAUUAAACCUUGUUUUAUUUUAAAUUAUUUUCAGUUUUUAGUUAUUGUAAUUGGGUCAUUUUCCAUUUUUGUUUUUUAUUUUGAGUUGUUUAAUUUUAUCUGUAUUUUGAGUCAUUUUCCCUUUUUGGUUAUUUUAAUUGAGUCAUUUUCCUUUUUUUUUUUACUUUGAGGGUUUUUUUAUUUUUUUGUGUCUUUUU